CGACUUUAUAAAAAGUUGAAGAAAAGCACAGGGGCUUGUAACGCGAAAAACUGCCAUCAAGGUAUAUACUGUCACUGACGGGGUCUUAGUACUAUAUAAAAGGAAAGCGAUGUAACGAGGUCAACACACCAGGUUCGUUUCAGGGCGAAUUCAACAAUACUCACUGUAU